rnacentral:rRNA from 1 species
AUUGAACGCUGGCGGCAUGCUUUACACAUGCAAGUCGAACGGUAACAGGUUAAGCUGACGAGUGGCGAACGGGUGAGUAAUGCAUCGGAGCGUGCCCGAUCGUGGGGGAUAACGCAGCGAAAGCUGCGCUAAUACCGCAUACGAUCUGAGGAUGAAAGCGGGGGACCGUAAGGCCUCGCGCGAUCGGAGCGGCCGAUGUCAGAUUAGGUAGUUGGUGGGGUAAAGGCUCACCAAGCCAACGAUGUGUAGCUGGUCUGAGAGGACGACCAGCCACCCUGGGACUGGGACACGGCCCAGACUCCUACGGGAGGCAGCAGUGGGGAAUUUUGGACAAUGGGCGAAAGCCUGAUCCAGCAAUGCCGCGUGCAGGAAGAAGGCCUUCGGGUUGUAAACUGCUUUUGUACGGAGCGAAAAGGCUCUCUCUAAUACAGGGGGCUCAUGACGGUGCCGUAAGAAUAAGCACCGGCUAACUACGUGCCAGCCGCCGCGGUAA